CCUUCGGGUUAGUGGCGGACGGGUGAGUAACGCGUGAGAAUCUGCCCUCAGGAGGGGGAUAACGGCUGGAAACGGCCGCUAAUACCCCAUAUGCCGAGAGGUGAAAUGAAAUUCGCCUGAGGAUGAGCUCGCGUCUGAUUAGCUAGUUGGUGGGGUAAGAGCCUACCAAGGCGUCGAUCGGUAGCUGGUCUGAGAGGACGAUCAGCCACACUGGGACUGAGACACGGCCCAGACUCCUACGGGAGGCAGCAGUGGGGAAUUUUCCGCAAUGGGCGAAAGCCUGACGGAGCAACGCCGCGUGAGGGAUGAAGGCCUCUGGGCUGUAAACCUCUUUUAUCAAGGAAGAAGAUCUGACGGUACUUGAUGAAUAAGCCACGGCUAAUUCCGUGCCAGCAGCCGCGGUAAUACGGGAGUGGCAAGCGUUAUCCGGAAUUAUUGGGCGUAAAGCGUCCGCAGGCGGCCUUGUAAGUCUGUCGUCAAAGCGUGGAGCUUAACUCCAUUUAAGCGAUGGAAACUGCAAGGCUAGAGUGUGGUAGGGGCAGAGGGGAUUCCCGGUGUAGCGGUGAAGUGCGUAGAUAUCGGGAAGAACACCAGUGGCGAAGGCGCUCUGCUGGGCCAUAACUGACGCUCAUGGACGAAAGCCAGGGGAGCGAAAGGGAUUAGAUACCCCUGUAGUCCUGGCCGUAAACGAUGAACACUAGGUGUCGGGGGAAUCGACCCCCUCGGUGUC
rnacentral:rRNA from 1 species